rnacentral:rRNA from 1 species
GAUGAACGCUGGCGGUAUGCUUAACACAUGCAAGUCGAACGGACUCUUCGGAGUUAGCGGCGGACGGGUGAGUAACGCGUGAGAAUCUGGCUUUGGGUUCGGGACAACCACUGGAAACGGUGGCUAAUACCGGAUGUGCCGAGAGGUAAAAGAGAAAUUGCCUGAAGAUGAGCUCGCGUCUGAUUAGCUAGUUGGUGAGGUAAAGGCUCACCAAGGCAGCGAUCAGUAGCUGGUCUGAGAGGAUGACCAGCCACACUGGGACUGAGACACGGCCCAGACUCCUACGGGAGGCAGCAGUGGGGAAUUUUCCGCAAUGGGCGAAAGCCUGACGGAGCAAUACCGCGUGAGGGAAGAAGGCUCUUGGGUUGUAAACCUCUUUUCUUAGGGAAGAACAAAAUGACGGUACCUAAGGAAUCAGCAUCGGCUAACUCCGUG